AGAGUUUGAUCAUGGCUCAGAAUCAACGCUGGCGGCGUGCCUCAGACAUGCAAGUCGAACGCGAAAGUUCCCUUCGGGGAGCAAGUAGAGUGGCGCACGGGUGAGUAACACGUAGGUAAUCUACCUUCGGGUGGGGAAUAACCCAGGGAAACUUGGGCUAAUACCGCAUAAUGCAGCGGCACCACAUGGUGACAGUUGUUAAGGCGGGGGAUUUUCGGACCUCGCGCCUGAAGAGGAGCCUGCGGCGGAUUAGCUAGUUGGUAAGGUAACGGCUUACCAAGGCGACGAUCCGUAGCCGGCCUGAGAGGGCGGUCGGCCACACUGACACUGACAUACGGGUCAGACUCCUACGGGAGGCAGCAGUCGGGAAUUUUGGGCAAUGGGCGAAAGCCUGACCCAGCAACGCCGCGUGAAGGAUGAAAUCCCUCGGGAUGUAAACUUCGCAAGAAUGGGAAGAAUAAGUAGGGGACAAUACCCCCUAUGAUGACGGUACCAUUUGUAAGCUCCGGCUAACUCCGUGCCAGCAGCCGCGGUAAUACGGGGGGAGCAAGCGUUGUUCGGAUUUACUGGGCGUAAAGGGCGCGUAGGCGGCCAGCACAAGUCAGUUGUGAAAUCUCCGGGCUUAACUCGGAAAGGUCAACUGAUACUGUGCGGCUAGAGUGCGGAAGGGGCAACUGGAAUUCUCGGUGUAGCGGUGAAAUGCGUAGAUAUCGAGAGGAACACCUGCGGCGAAGGCGGGUUGCUGGGCCGACACUGACGCUGAUGCGCGAAAGCCAGGGGAGCGAACGGGAUUAGAUACCCCGGUAGUCCUGGCCUUAAACGAUGGAUGCUUGGUGUCUGGGGUUUUAUAGUCCCCGGGUGCCGCAGCUAACGCGUUAAGCAUCCCGCCUGGGGAGUACGGUCGCAAGACUGAAACUCAAAGGAAUUGACGG
rnacentral:rRNA from 1 species